rnacentral:rRNA from 1 species
UGGAUCCAGACUUUGAUCAUGGCUCAGGAUGAACGCUAGCUACAGGCUUAACGCAUGCAAGUCGAGGGGAAACGACAUCGAAAGCUUGCUUUUGAUGGGCGUCGACCGGCGCACGGGUGAGUAACGCGUAUCCAACCUGCCCACCACUUGGGGAUAACCUUGCGAAAGUAAGACUAAUACCCAAUGACGUCUCUAGAAGACAUCUGAAAGAGAUUAAAGAUUUAUCGGUGAUGGAUGGGGAUGCGUCUGAUUAGCUUGUUGGCGGGGUAACGGCCCACCAAGGCAACGAUCAGUAGGGGUUCUGAGAGGAAGGUCCCCCACGUUGGAACUGAGACACGGUCCAAACUCCUACGGGAGGCAGCAGUGAGGAAUAUUGGUCAAUGGACGAGAGUCUGAACCAGCCAAGUAGCGUGCAGGAUGACGGCCCUAUGGGUUGUAAACUGCUCUUAUAAGGGAAUAAAGUGAGUCUCGUGAGACUUUUUGCAUGUACCUUAUGAAUAAGGACCGGCUAAUUCCGUGCCAGCAGCCGCGGUAAUACGGAAGGUCCGGGCGUUAUCCGGAUUUAUUGGGUUUAAAGGGAGCGUAGGCCGGAGAUUAAGCGUGUUGUGAAAUGUAGACGCUCAACGUCUGCACUGCAGCGCGAACUGGUUUCCUUGAGUACGCACAAAGUGGGCGGAAUUCGUGGUGUAGCGGUGAAAUGCUUAGAUAUCACGAAGAACUCCGAUUGCGAAGGCAGCUCACUGGAGCGCAACUGACGCUGAAGCUCGAAAGUGCGGGUAUCGAACAGGAUUAGAUACCCUGGUAGUCCGCACGGUAAACGAUGGAUGCCCGCUGUUGGUCUGAAUAGGUCAGCGGCCAAGCGAAAGCAUUAAGCAUCCCACCUGGGGAGUACGCCGGCAACGGUGCAACUCAAAUGAAUUGACGGA